GUGAGGAAUAUUGGUCAAUGGACGGAAGUCUGAACCAGCCAUGCCGCGUGAAGGAUGAAGGCGUUCUGCGUUGUAAACUUCUUUUAUUUAGGAAGAAACCACCGAUUUCUAUUGGUGUUGACGGUAUUAAAUGAAUAAGCACCGGCUAACUCCGUGCCAGCAGCCGCGGUAAUACGGAGGGUGCGAGCGUUAUCCGGAUUUACUGGGUUUAAAGGGUGCGCAGGCGGUCUUAUAAGUCCGGGGUGAAAUACUACAGCUCAACUGUAGAACUGCCUUGGAUACUAUAGGACUUGAAUCGAGUAUAGGUCAGCGGAAUACAACAUGUAGCGGUGAAAUGCAUAGAUAUGUUGUGGAACACCGAUUGCGAAGGCAGCUGACUGGGCUUGAAUUGACGCUCAGGCACGAAAGCGUGGGUAGCGAACAGGAUUAGAUACCCGUGUAGUCC
rnacentral:rRNA from 1 species